rnacentral:ncRNA from 1 species
UAAAACGUAACGAAAUGAAGCAGUAGAUGGAAUCAAACUACUUAGAGAGGUACUGGUUGGUGCAAAGUACAUGGGGAGAUCUGUUGAACUAGUCAUUAAAUGGCUGUCUUGAAAUUAAGUAGAGAUAGACGGGAGCUCCCGUUACAGAGCUAUUCAUUAUUGGAUCAAAGUGCAUCAUAAAGAUGAAGAAGAGUGGUACCGCGGAAGCUUUCAGCCUUUCGUCUCUUUU